UUCUCAGGCUGACAGAGGACGUGGUUUGCCAACUGCACUCACUCCACUCAGCGCAGAAUGGCUUAGAGACUUAUAGACAGACAUGCCCAAAGAAGUCUUUCCAAGGUGAUUUAAAUACCUUUGAGGU
rnacentral:lncRNA from 1 species